GAGCGCAACCCUCGUCGCUAGUUAAUUCCCUAGCGAGACCGCCUCGCAAAACGAGGAGGAAGGUGGGGAUGGCGUCAAGUCAGCAUGGCCUUUAUACCCUGGGCGACACACACGCUACAAUGGGUGGUACAGUAGGUAGCGAAGGAGCGAUCCGGAGCAAAUCUUUAAAACCAUCCUCAGUACGGAUUGCAGGCUGAAACCCGCCUGCAUGAAGCCGGAGUUGCUAGUAACCGCAUAUCAGAAUGGUGCGGUGAAUACGUUCUCGGGCCUU
rnacentral:rRNA from 1 species